GAUGAACGCUGGCGGCGUGCUUAACACAUGCAAGUCGAGCGAGAAGUUUUGAAAAGAUUCUUCGGAUGAAAUUUAAAAUGGAAAGCGGCGGACGGGUGAGUAACGCGUAGGCAACCUGCCCCAUACAAAGGGAUAGCAUUUGGAAACGAAUAUUAAUACCUUAUGAAACUUAACUAGUGCAUGCUAGGUAGGUCAAAGAUUUAUCGGUAUGGGAUGGGCCUGCGUCUGAUUAGCUAGUUGGUGAGGUAACGGCUCACCAAGGCGACGAUCAGUAGCCGACCUGGGAGGGUGAACGGCCACAUUGGAACUGAGACACGGUCCAAGCUCCUACGGGAGGCAGCAGUGGGGAAUAUUGCACAAUGGGGGAAACCCUGAUGCAGCAACGCCGCGUGAACGAUGAAGGCCUUUGGGUCGUAAAGUUCUGUUAUAGGUGAGGAAAACUGACAGUAACCUAGGAGAAAGCCCCGGCUAACUCCGUG
rnacentral:rRNA from 1 species